AUGUUGAGCCACCUUGCCUUCCUCCUGGUUCUCCUGUUUCCUGCUGGUGGGUCAGUCAUCAAGUUGGAGCAGCCGGCCUACAUCCUCGGGCAGAAGGGCAGCUCGGUUGCCCUGCAGUGCUUGGUCCACUUUCAGGUCAGCUAUAUUCACUGGUACCGGAAUCAAGAGGGCAAGGCCCCUGAGAGGCUCCUCCGACAGGCCAUGUUCAAAUCUGAUGUACAGUGGGACUCAGUUUUGAAAGUGGACAAAAUCACAGCCGUGGAGGCUGAAGAUGGCAAAAGCUGCACCCUGUGGGUGCUCAAACUGGAGAAGAGUGAUGAGGGCAUGUACUACUGUGCUGCCUGGGACCAGCACAGCCUGGCAU